GGUUAGGCUGCCGGGAGGGGCGGCGCGUGGGAGGGAGGCUGUGUCCACAUGUGCAAACAGGUGAACUAAUAAAGGAAGACUUCUUCCAUAAAUAGUAGUACAUUUACUAUGCAGAUGAUUUGACAAAAAGAUGGCCCUGCUCAUCGGGCUCAAGCAGCAGCGAGCAAGGCCAGCGACAACGGAAAUGUUGUGGCUGGCGCCCAUGCACCUCUACCUGACUUCAAUGCACCUUUGUGUUUUAUGGAAGAGCUAACAGUUGUUUUACACCAGUACAAAUGCUCU